rnacentral:misc_RNA from 1 species
GAUAAGAACGCAGCGAAAUGCGAUAAGUAAUGUGAAUUGCAGAAUUCAGUGAAUCAUCGAAUCUUUGAACGCACAUUGCGCCCCCUGGUAUUCCGGGGGGCAUGCCUGUCCGAGCGUCAUUACAACCCUCAAGCUCAGCUUGGUGUUGGGCCCCGCCGCCCCGGCGGGCCCUAAAGUCAGUGGCGGUGCCGUCCGGCUCCGAGCGUAGUAAUUCUUCUCGCUCUGGAGGUCCGGUCGUGUGCUCGCCAGCAACCCCCAAUUUUUUUCAGGUUGACCUCGGAUCAGGUAGGGAUACCCGCUGAACUUAAGCAUAUCAAUAAGCGGAGGA